rnacentral:lncRNA from 1 species
GCUAGUUAAAAAUGUAAGUGGAGGCAAAAGAUGGAUUUGGAUUUUGCAUAGCUAUGUAUUUCUAAACAUGAGUGUUUUUGAAAUUCUGGGGUGGAUUCUGUAGAGUAAUUGGUUUUCCUGUUGACUCCAGAUAGAGCAGUGACAUUAACAAAUCAAAAGAUGUAUAUCUAAUUUGUUUUACUUGUUUACCAAUUAGCCAGUUUGGAUGUGUGAAGGAAAACAUGAUGAGGAAAAAAGCAAAGUCCAUUCUCCGUCCUGAUUUUUUUUAGGUAGCUUGCCUGGCUGGGAGAGAAAGAGCCCACUUAGAUGGCAUAUGUCUUAGUUUCUUCUCCUGGCCAUUCCCUUGGAGUCAUGCUUGCUAGAAGUCAAGGAUUAUUGCAAAGAGACACAUUUUUCCUCUUUCUCAAUCGACUCCAAAUUAUUACAACACGAUGUCAUACUCAGGUUAUCUUGCUGGAUGAAGAUAAUCUAGCCCAGAUUCUAAGGCUCAAGAAGCAGCAAAGCUAUAUGGUGGAAGAACCAUGAGUCUGAAUGGAUGAGCCAAGUGUUGCCCCAGUGACUCCUAGGAUCUGCAAUGGACUAUGAAUUGAACAAGAAAUAGACUUUUAUCAUUCAUUUUGGAAAUUUAUAUGCCAGUAACUAUAAAAAAAAAAGUGACUGGUUUUACAUAUCAGUUUUAUCUUCUCCUUUUAUUAGGAUUCAUGAACCCCUUUUAGAAGAUGGAAUUCCUUGCUAAAAAUUUUCUAGCCUUUAAGGCAUGAGAGAAGAAAACUCUUGAUAAAGGGUAUAUACAUACAUAUAUAUUUGACUAUAUUUAUACCUUAUAGUUGACUACAUGUAGACAUUAUAUCUGUAAACUCUAUAUAGUUAAGUGAUGAUACAUAUUAUAUAGCUUGUGUUUUGCUCUUCAUUAAAAUGAACUGUCACAAUUAUUAAUUUAUUUAUUUCAUAUAGAGAAUCAAUACUAUCUUAUUUAUUAUAUGAAAUCAACAUUUUAUAU